UCAUGGUCCAGAACGUGGUUAAGGGAAUCAGGUAGCGGGAACUUAACCAAAAUAAGGCAGAGGCAAGCUCAAAGGAUCUGGACAAGCGAGCUGGUAGCUGGACGAGAUCCGGGUGAAGCUCGAUGAAGUGAGUGAUCAGAAUGGAUCAUGGGAAAACUAAGUCUAGUUCUGGAAAUAGACCAAGGGACUUAAAAGGAUUGAAGAAUAUAAAGGAAGCAAGCUGGAGACAGUGUAUAACAGUUGGGCAAUGCAGUAAGCAAGCUCGACCAGCUAGGUGAAGUGUAGUGCAGCUCGGUGUAGCUCACUGAAGUGUAGGUCAGCUCCCUGAGCUGGAUGGUCUAGCUCACUCAGCUGGAUCAGCUGGGGAUCAGCUCAACUCAGCUGGACUGAGUGUUCUGGUCUCGGGCAGUUGGGCCGGGUCUGGACAGUGGCCGGGCCAUGUGGGUGACCCGUGUGUGCCGAUGGGGUGGUGGGCUCUUGGGAUUGAGCCAGGGGCAUGGGCAGUCCGUGUGGGAUUGUUUUGGACAUGUCCAGGAGUGGUUUGGCAGUUACCAGAACGUCUGGUAACUGCCAUUGGCGAAAGGGUGCAAUUUGUACCAUUGAUUAAAUCAAUGGCCAGAAUUGAUACCGAAGGGAUGCAAUGGUUAAGAUGUAACCACCCCUUCUUCUAUAAAAGGCAGGCAAGUCCGUGCCUUCUCAGGCAUGCCAGGGAUUCCUCCUAAAUCCUGAAACAUAAAGAAAACCAGAGAAAAACAGAGAUAUGGUCGGAUUGAAUUAUCCAAUACCAAGAGGCAUUCAAAGGCAUCAAAGAGGCAGUUUUGGAGGGCAAUCAAGAGGGAAGUUGAGAACGACCCUCUGGUGAGUUUUGAUUAUUGUUUGCUACGCCCUGUUCUUCCUCUAUAUCCAUAUAUCACACGCAAAUAGCCUGGAGAGAAGAUAGGAGGCCGGAUCCCACUUCCAAUGGUUGAGACAGCCUCAACGGCAGAUGUGUGUAGAAAGGCAGUUUCAUGGG